UCGGAGCCGCCGACCCCAACAGCGAAACAACAGCUAUGAUCGAGGUGAUUCUUGUGUUAUAACAUAUAUAUGUUCUCAGCAAUCCAGGUAAGGCUGUUCUUUGCUCUGAACUCUGCAACGUGGCAUAAUACAAUAAUCCUGACCGCUCCUUCUGAAUAACGGAGUAGACUUAUCAGCAGAAAGUCUUGAACAAUAUGACCAUCUCUGCUUCUAAAAACGUUGUUAACUUCACUCCCUAUCCAUCUAGUUAGCACAAAGGUUUUUUGUGCUGCAAAAGCAAGGAUGGAGGCCUCGAAGGACCAUCAUUUUCUGUAGCUGGGAUGCAGAAGAGUACGGAUUGACAGGAUCAACUGAAUGGGUUGAAGAAAACAGGGAGAUGCUUUCCUCGAGGGGUGUUGCAUAUCUGAAUAUUGAUGUUUCAGAGUCGGUCCAGUUUUACUCCCAUCUACAACUCCCCAACUUGAUGAACUACUAAUGGAAUCAAUUAAAAUGGAAAGAGUACUAACUGAUAGUCAGUUAUUUGGUUUUGGUCAUA